rnacentral:rRNA from 1 species
GAUGAACGCUGGCGGCGUGCCUAAUACAUGCAAGUCGAGCGAACGGACGAGGAGCUUGCUUCUCUGAUGUUAGCGGCGGACGGGUGAGUAACACGUGGAUAACCUACCUAUAAGACUGGGAUAACUUCGGGAAACCGGAGCUAAUACCGGAUAAUAUUUUGAACCGCAUGGUUCAAAAGUGAAAGACGGUCUUGCUGUCACUUAUAGAUGGAUCCGCGCUGCAUUAGCUAGUUGGUAAGGUAACGGCUUACCAAGGCAACGAUACAUAGCCGACCUGAGAGGGUGAUCGGCCACACUGGAACUGAGACACGGUCCAGACUCCUACGGGAGGCAGCAGUAGGGAAUCUUCCGCAAUGGGCGAAAGCCUGACGGAGCAACGCCGCGUGAGUGAUGAAGGUCUUCGGAUCGUAAAACUCUGUUAUUAGGGAAGAACAUAUGUGUAAGUAACUGUGCACAUCUUGACGGUACCUAAUCAGAAAGCCACGGCUAACUACGUG